UAGGGAAUCUUCGGCAAUGGACGAAAGUCUGACCGAGCAACGCCGCGUGAGUGAAGAAGGUUUUCGGAUCGUAAAACUCUGUUGUUAGAGAAGAACAAGGACGUUAGUAACUGAACGUCCCCUGACGGUAUCUAACCAGAAAGCCACGGCUAACUACGUGCCAGCAGCCGCGGUAAUACGUAGGUGGCUAGCGUUGUCCGGAUUUAUUGGGCGUAAAGCGAGCGCAGGCGGUUUCUUAACACUGAUGUGAAAGCCCCCCGCUCAACCGGGGAGGUUCACUGGAAACUGGGAGACUUGACUGCAGAAGAGGAGAGUGGAAUUCCAUGUGUAGCUGUGACAUGCUUAGAUAUAUGGAGGAACACCAGUCGCGAAGGCGGCUCUCUGGUCUGUAACUGACGCUUAGGCUCGAAAGCGUGGGGAGCAAACAGG
rnacentral:rRNA from 1 species